AUUGAACGCUGGCGGCAUGCCUAACACAUGCAAGUCGAGCGGGUGAAGGGGGCUUGCUUCUGGAUUCUGCGGCGGACGGGUGAGAAAUUCCUAGGAAGCUGCCUGGCAGUGGUGGAUAACGCCGGGAAACGGGCGCUAAUACCGCAUACGACGGGAGCGAGAACCUGGGGGGUCUUCCGACUUCACGCUGUCAGAUGAGCCUAGGUCGGAUUAGCUAGGUGGUGGGGUAAAGGCCUACCAAGGCGACGAUCCGUAACUGGUCUGAGAGGAUGAUCAGUCACACUGGAACUGAGACACGGUCCAGACUCCUACGGGAGGACGCAGUGGGCAUUCACGGCGAACGGCCGAAAGGCUGGCCCCGCAAUGGCGCAAGUGUGAACACGGUCUUUGAAAUGUAAAGCACGUCACCUUGGGGGCAGGGGCAUUUAGUGUUAUUCAUGUUAAGUUGACGGUACCAAAAGAAUAAGCACCGGCUAACUUCGUG
rnacentral:rRNA from 1 species